rnacentral:rRNA from 1 species
CCUACGGGUGGCAGCAGUGGGGAAUAUUGGACAAUGGGGGCAACCCUGAUCCAGCCAUGCCGCGUGUGUGAAGAAGGCCCUCGGGUUGUAAAGCACUUUCAGUGAGGAAGAACGCCUGGUGGUUAAUACCCAUCAGGAAAGACAUCACUCACAGAAGAAGCACCGGCUAACUCCGUGCCAGCAGCCGCGGUAAUACGGAGGGUGCGAGCGUUAAUCGGAAUUACUGGGCGUAAAGCGCGCGUAGGUGGCUUGAUAAGCCGGUUGUGAAAGCCCCGGGCUCAACCUGGGAAUGGCAUCCGGAACUGUCAAGCUAGAGUGCAGGAGAGGAAGGUAGAAUUCCCGGUGUAGCGGUGAAAUGCGUAGAGAUCGGGAGGAAUACCAGUGGCGAAGGCGGCCUUCUGGACUGACACUGACACUGAGGUGCGAAAGCGUGGGUAGCAAACAGGAUUAGAUACCCCGGUAGUC